rnacentral:lncRNA from 1 species
UUACAUUUUCAUUAUAAAACACGGUUUGGGAUUUUUAACUUAAAUUUUGAUACAAAAUUUGAGCUAUUAAUCUCUCACAAUCUAAUGGUUAAUAGCGAAAGUCAAAAAAACUUUUUAUGAUAGUAUAUCAUCCAUCAUUGAACUGCAUGAAGUUAAUAAUUUACAUUUUAUGUUAAAAAUUUAAGUUAAAAAAACUUAACUCUAAAAGUAUAUACCAAAGCCAUCAUGUGGUUAUAUACACAUAUAUAUUUUUUCAAUUAUAGUUGUUAAAUAAAAUAUUUCUACUUUGUUGUUGCUCAUAGUUGUUAACAUAUAUGUUUCCAUAAUAUUGAUUUUGAUGAUAACAAACAAGAUUAAGAAUGAUUAAUCUUUUAAGCUCAAAUUAUUUAAUAUUCUUUUUAAAUAAAUCAUUAUUUUCACAUUAUAAAUGUUUUGUAUUUAAUGGAAAAAUGAUUUUAUGAAAUUGAUUGUUUUUAUUCUUUUUAAAUAAAUCAUUAUUUUCACAUUAUAAAUGUUUCAUAUUUAAUGGAAAAAUGAUUUUAUGAAAUUGGUUGUUUUUCAAAGUUUAUGGUUUAAUUGAAACAUUUUGAAAACUUUGAAAUAAACAAGUAUUGCUUGAAAUUUUGGUGAAGGACUUAUUUGAAAAGUGUCAUAGCAUUUUGGGCUAUAACAUAAUUUCAGAAAGUUUUGGGAUUAACAAAGUAUUACUUAGAAAUUCUGAAAUUGGACCUAUUUGUAAAGUUUCAUAACGUUUUGGGUUAUAGUACAGUUUUGUAAAGUUUUGGGGUCAAACUGUAAUUUCAAAAAAUAGUGCACUGUGCAGGUUACUGUAGCAAUCACUGUAGCAAACGGCUAACCGUUUAUUUAAAAACGGCUAACUGUUUAUUUAAAAAAGGCUAACCGAUAAUUUCUAGAAAGCAUGUUCUGCAAAGUAUUGUUAAAAUGAUGAUUCUGGAAACUAACGGUGAACCGUUUACUGAAAACGGUUAACCGAUUAUUUCCAGUUUUGCUAACCUUGAACCGUUUAGUAAGAACGGUUAAACCAAAUUUGUUUUGCAGGUCUCUGGAAAUUAACGGCGAAAGGGUAAGCCUAAAUGGCUAACCGUUUAUUUGAAAAUUGGCCCAACGGUAACUUUGACCAACCGAAACGGCUAACCGUUUAUGGUUAACGGCGAACCUUUUUCUGUCCGACAGUUUGUAACAGCUAGAUUUUCAGCUCCAACUACAAAUAAGCUCAAUCCAAUUCAAACAAGAAGUUUUUCAACGAUCAUCAUUGAGCAAAAUAUAGAGAAUACAACUUUUAUUGAGCUUUAAAUCUUUGUAUUCAUCUCAUUCAUUCACACAUUGAGCUUUCACUUGUGAUCAAACACAUUGUGUGAGAGAGAUUCAUUUGUAAUCUUUUUUGUAAAAUCAAGUUAAAAGAUUGUAAGUGUUGGGAUACACUUGGGUUAAGAGAUUGGGGAUAAUCUCUUGUUGUAAAGGUCCAUUGACACCUUGGAAGUCAAUUGUAAGCGUUUGAAGCCUUGGAGGCUUGCUUAGUGGAAUCCUCAAGCCCGGUGUGCUUGGAGGCGUGGACGUAGGCGGGGAUUGCCGAACCACGUAAAAAUCUUUGAGUUUGCUUUCUCUUCCCCUACUCAUUUAUUAUUGUGCUUUUAUUGAAUUUAUUGUUUUCGAAUUUAUUAAAGCAUUAGAUUAAAUUGUUGUGUGAUUUGCUUAGGAUAAUUUUUAAAAUCCCAAUUCACCCCCCUCUUGGGUUGCCUAGUUAGUAUUUCAUUUGGUAUCAGAGUGAGGUGCUCUUGUGUAGACUUAACCGUCUAGAGUUAAAGAUCCAUGGCAACCCAUAAUGGCUCAAUUUUUAGGGAAGGACAAUCCACAAUUAGACCACCGUUCUUUGAUGGUAAUGACUAUCCUUAUUGGAAAACUAGGAUGAGAGUGUUUUUACAAGCCUUAGAUUAUGAACUAUGGGAAAUAGUUUGUGAUGAUUCAUUCAUUCCUAGGAAGAAUGUUUUAAGUGAAUUGGAUAAGAAAAAGAUGUCAUUAAAUUCCAAGGCUAUGAAUGCUUUAUUUUGUGCCUUAGAUAAAAAGGAAUUUCAUAAAGUUUCAAAUUGUUCUAAUGCUUAUGAAAUUUGGAGAAAACUUGAAAUUGUGUAUGAGGAGACUACAAACGAGGAGGAAUUUCAUGAAGUGUCGAAUUUGGCACUUAUGGCAAUUGGAGAUGACUCGGAUGAUGGACUUGAUGAGGUAAAUGAUCUUCUUACUUAUGAUGAAUUACAUGAUGCGUUUAAAGAAUUGUAUGAUGAGUGGAUGAAAAUUGGUAAAAAGAAUGCAUGUCUUAAAAAGAAAAUGGUAGAGCUCAAAAAUGAAAAUGAAUCUCUAUGUGCAAAGAUUACAUGCCUAGAAUUAGAGAAUAAAACAUUGUAUGAUAGAGUUGCAUUAUCAAAUGAGAAACCUAACAUUUCACACAAGCAUCUAGAAUCACAUGUAAAUGACUUGAAAAAUGAAAAAGAUGCCUUGCAAAAAUUCAAUGUUUCAUUAAAUGAAAAGAUCAAAGAAUUGGAAUUAGAUAAUGAAAUGUUACAUGAUAGAAUUGCAUCAUUCACAUGUAAACAAAGUACUUUGUAUGAGCAUGAGAAAUCACAUGUUGAUGAAUUAAUAAAUGAAAAUGAAACGCUUAAGAAAAGGAGCAAUGAGUUGAAUGAGAUUGUUUUGAAAUUCACAAAUGGGCAAAAGAUGUUGGAUAACAUGCUUAAUUCACAAAAAUGUGUGUUUGAUAAAGGAGGACUUGGGUAUAAGCCUUACUUGAAACAAAAAUAUUAUAAGAAUUAUUUUGUUAAGGCUACCUCCACAAAUGAUCAAAUUGUAUGUCAUUAUUGCAAUCAAAAUGGUCAUAUGAAGAAUAGAUGUCAAAUUAAAAGAAAUGUGUAUUAUGGAGUUAAAUGUAUUUGGGUUCCGAAAGGAACUAAAUCUAACACUCAAGGACCCAAGAGUAUUUGGGUACCAAAGGGCACAACGUGAAUGUUUUCUUUGUAGGUACCACAAUCAAGGAAUGGUGGAGAGUUCCUUGAUGAAGCUUAUGAGGAUAAUCACUUGAUCAUGGUCUAAGCAAAAAUAAUGAGGCAAAAUGAUUUAAUUGUUUUGGUAACUAUUAUUGCCUUAUUGAUUAUAAGUUAUGGUCUUUUAAUCUUAGUAAAUAUUUAACAUUUCAUUUGGUAUCAUAACAUUGAGUGCAUUAACAUGAAGUGGAUAAGUUUAUCUUGCCUAUUUACUAUAUUGAGUGAAUCAUGACAAAUGAAUUUACGAAAGUAUGCUUGUAUGUUUACAUGAUGGAAUUAUCAUUGUGUUUAACAUUUAGUGCUUUAUCAUGAUGCAUGAUUAUAUAUUUAUGAUGAUAGCUUGUCAACUUAUCAUGAUUUUUAAUGAUUAUGUAAUGCCUAAGCAUGAUAAAUAAGUGAUAUGCUUUAAUUCUAAAUCUUUGAAUAUUUACAUAUUUCAUGAUUGUGUGAUGUAUAUGCAUGAUAGAUGAGUUAUAUGUUAUUUCUUGCAUUAGAAGUGAUCAUGGUGGAUAAUUAGAAAAUCAUGCAUUUGAGAUUUUUUUGUAAUGAUUUUGCCAUUGAGUAUAAAUUUUCAUCACCUAUAACUCCACAUCAAAAUGGAGUUGUAGAGAGAAAGGAUAGGUCUAUUCAAAAAAUGGUUAAGACCACAUUGAUUAGACACCAUCUCAAUAAUACUCUCUAUGUGCUUUGGAAAUAUAGAAAACCCAACAUUAGUUAUUGCAAAGUUUUUGGAUGCAAAUGUUAUAUUUUGAACACAAAAGAUAAUCUUGGCAAAUUUGAUCCAAAAUUUGAUGUUGGUAUUUUUCUUGGCUAUUCAAACACAAGCAAAACUUAUGGAGUGUAUAACAAAAGAACUUUGAUUGUGGAAGAAUUUAUACAUGUUAUAUUUGAUGAGUCUAAUUCUUCCUCUACGGAGAAAGUUGUUGUUGAUAAUAAUGUAGAUGAAAAGCUACAAGAAGAUUAUCAAAUGAUAGCCAAAAGAACACGCCACUUGAAAAUCAAGAGGAGCAACACGAAGAAAUAAAUGCGGAGUAAAAUGAAGGUAUUUUCUCAUACAUUCCUAAAGAGUGGAGGUAUGUUUCUUCUCACCCUAAGGACUUAAUUUUAGGAUAUCUAUCACAAGAUGUAAUUACUAGAUCAUCAUUUAGAAAUAUAUGUAAGUAUGGAUUUGAUCACUUGUUAUUUAACUCAUAAUUAUGGCUUUUCUUAAUAGUUAUGUUAAUUUUGAUGAUCCAUAUAUUGGCAUAUGUUGAUUUUGAUGAUUUAUACAUUGUCAUUAUGUACUUAUGCUUUGCUUAAGUUUUGAUGAUAAAGUUUGUGCAUUGAUGAUUACAUUGUAUUUGAUGAAGCUUUGAUCUUAUGCAAUCUAUGAUUAGUGAAUGAAUGCAUUUUUUGUACUUUAUCGAUCUAUUGUUGAAUAUGUCUUACUUAUUUUAAAUGAUAUCGAAAAAGGGAGAAAUACAUAUACUUCGAGAAUUUUAAGUAUAUGAGAUUUUUUUUGUUAUAUUGAAUGUCACAUUAGAUAUUUGAUGAGUUUAGUUGUCUUUAUUUAUAAAAUGUGAUUGAUAAUUAUGGAGAUUGAAUAUUUGAUAAUAUGCAUGCCAAUUUUGUAAAGAAAUCAAAACCUCUUUGCGAAGAAGAAUUUUCAAAAAUUCGGCAUAAACUUGGAAUGAUUUGAUUUCUUGAUGAUUUUGGUACUUGAUGAUUAUAUGUGCGUUGCUUGAUGAAUUGAAGGAGUUGUUGGUUGGUUAUUAUUGUUUAAGUUUAUAUGGAAGUGUUUUUUAACCAUGUUGUGUAUUUGAGAAUUUGUUCAUUUUUAAGGGGGAGACAAAUAUAAUAUGUUUUUGGAUAAAAUCAUUUCGGUUAAAUUUUUUAAUUGGCCAUAUAUUUAGGGGGAGCAUACAAUAUGAUUUUGAAUAAUAUGCAUUUUGAGUAAUUGUUUUGAUAAUUGAUAUUUGAUUAUGAUGAUGAUUUUGAUGAUUUUGAGAUAUAAUGGUGAUUUGAUUACAUGGGUGUUUUAUAUAAUAAAUUUCAUGUUAUGAGUUGUUGAUUUGGUGGUUAAUGGAAUAAUGGUUCAUGAUAUUUUGGUGUGAUGAUUUGUGUAUGAAGUUGGCUUUUAUCAUGAUCUAUAAUAAUUUGUGAGUAAUAUUACCAAUCUUGUAUUUGAGGUGAUGCUUGUUGUUAGGGGAAGAUUUUGUCGAAAUUUCUACUCAAACAACAUGGGUAACAAAUUUGCUACUUUUAUUCUUUUCCUUUACGUUUUUUUUUUUAUUAUGAAGGGGGAGAAGAAUACAUGUUUUCAAAUUUAUAAAAAUUUGCUUUUUUUUUUUUUGCCAAUUAAAUUUUUCUUUUUGAUGAUGAGGGGGAGAAAAAUCCAUGUAUUUAAAUAUGUUAAUUUAGCUAAUUGGCAAAUUGUAAAAGAAGAUUAUAUUUAGAGGGAGCAAUUUGUGGAAUCAUUCUUUAAAUACAUGAAAUGUUUGUCAUCAUCAAAAAGGGGGAGAUUGUUAACAUAUAUGUUUCCAUAAUAUUGAUUUUGAUGAUAACAAACAAGAUUAAGAAUGAUUAAUCUUUUAAGCUCAAAUUAUUUAAUAUUCUUUUUAAAUAAAUCAUUAUUUUCACAUUAUAAAUGUUUUGUAUUUAAUGGAAAAAUGAUUUUAUGAAAUUGAUUGUUUUUAUUAUUUUUAAAUAAAUCAUUAUUUUCACAUUAUAAAUGUUUCAUAUUUAAUGAAAAAAUGAUUUUAUGAAAUUGGUUGUUUUUCAAAGUUUAUGGUUUAAUUGAAACAUUUUGAAAACUUUGAAAUAAACAAGUAUUGCUUGAAAUUUUGGUGAAGGACUUAUUUGAAAAGUGUCAUAGCAUUUUGGGCUAUAACAUAAUUUCAGAAAGUUUUGGGAUUAACAAAGCAUUACUUUGAAUUUUUAAAAUUGGACCUAUUUGUAAAGUUUCAUAACGUUUUGGGUUAUAGUACAGUUUUGUAAAAUUUUGAGGUCAAAUUGUAAUUUCAGAAAAUAGUGCACUGUGCAGGUUACUGUAGCAAUCACUGUAGCAAACGGCUAACCGUUUAUUUAAAAACGGCUAACCGUUUAUUUAAAAAAGGCUAACCGAUAAUUUCUAGAAAGCAUGUUCUGCAAAGUAUUGUUAAAAUGAUGAUUCUGGAAACUAACGGUGAACCAUUUACUGAAAACGGUUAACCGAUUAUUUCCAGUUUUGCUAACCUUGAACCGUUUAGUAAGAACAGUUAAACCAAAUUUGUUUUGUAGGUCUCUGGAAAUUAUCGGCGAAAGGGUAAGCCUAAACGGCUAACCGUUUAUUUGAAAAUUGGCCCAACGGUAACUUUGACCAACCGAAACGGCUAACCGUUUAUGGUUAACGGCGAACUGUUUUCUGUCCGACAGUUUGUAACGGCUAGAUUUUCAGCUCCAACUAUAAAUAAGCUCAAUCCAAUUCAAACAAGAAGUUUUUCAACGAUCAUCAUUGAGCAAAGUAUAGAGAAUACAACUUUCAUUGAGCUUUAAAUUUUUGUAUUCAUCUCAUUCAUUCACACAUUGAGCUUUCACUUGUGAUCAAACACAUUGUGUGAGAGAGAUUCAUUUGUAAUCUUUUUUGUAAAAUCAAGUUAAAAGAUUGUAAGUGUUGGGAUACACUUGGGUUAAGAGAUUGGGGAUAAUCUCUUGUUGUAAAGGUUCAUUGACACCUUGGAAGUCAAUUGUAAGCGUUUGAAGCCUUGGAGGCUUGCUUAGUGGAAUCCUCAAGCCCGGUGUGCUUGGAGGCGUGGACGUAGGCGGGGAUUGCCGAACCACGUAAAAAUCCUUGAGUUUGCUUUCUCUUCCCCUACUCAUUUAUUAUUAUGCUUUUAUUGAAUUUAUUGUUUUCGAAUUUAUUAAGGCAUUAAAUUAAAUUGUUGUGUGGUUUGCCUAGGAUAAUUUUUAAAAUCCCAAUUCACCCCCCUCUUGGGUUGCCUAGUUAGUAUUUCAAUAGUAUCAUUAAUAAAACAUUGAUCAAAUAAUUUAUUACUAUGCCUUCUAUUAUCAUUAUUGUUUAAGUAUUAAUGAUUUUAUAAUUGAAUUCAUACAAUACAAAUUAUUACAAGGCCUCAAAGAAUAACGUUAUAUAA